GGCUUCUGUCCUGACCUGUCUCUUGGCCAUGCAAUAAUCCAUAUGGUAAUCUAAGCAGGGCAGGUUUGGCCCAGGGAGUGGAGGUCUGCACUUGCCAGGACUGCAUGUGUCAGGGCUGGAGUGCAAUGGCAUGAUCUUGGCUCACUGCAACCUCCGCCUCCUGGGUUCAAGCUAUCCUGCUGCCUCAGCCCCUCGAGUAGCUGGAAUUACAGAUACUUUUGCCUUAUUGGAAGAAGUUUCAUAAUAAUUGCUGGCUCUCACCUAUGGCAACUCAGUUAUUUCCUUCAGAUUUUGACCUCAAGAAAUCCCAGGCAAUAUCAUACUGAAUGGGCAAAAACUGGAAGCAUUCACUUUGAAAACUGGCACAAGAAAGACAAGGAUGUCCUCUCUCACCACUCCGAUUCAACAUAGUAUUGGAAGUUCUGGCCAGGGCAAUCAGUGAGAAGAGGAGGAAAGGAAACUUUUGGAAGAGUGGUUCUGGGCUAAGAGUUGCCCUGUAAAUUUUAGGUGUGUGUUGUGGAGUUCACACAGCUUACACUUUGUUACAUCUGCUACAAGAAGCCCAAGCUACAUGGUGAUGUCCUUUUUGGGCAGUUUGGCUGGCAGUGUCAGCUGAGCCCAGACACUGAAUGUGAGCCCAGACAUUGUGGUUACAGGCGUAGGCCACCAAACUAGCUAGCUCAUAUAGAGACACUCCACACAUACCUGAUGUCUGAGCGAAGAAGCAUGCAGAUGCUUUUUGACCUCUAACAUUUGAGUCACCUUAACUAAGGCAUGGACGGAGAGGCAAGUUACAUCUACAGUCUAAAGUUCUGAUCCACAGAAUAAAGAGCAUCAUAUAAUGUGGUUAUUUUAUGCUAUUAAAAUGGGGUAGCUUGUUCUUCAGGAAGAGAUAACUAGAACACAGGGCUAAAAAUAAAAAUCACCUCAUAGAGAUCUAAGAGCUAAGUCAGAAAAUGAUUAUAGAGAAUCUGGCAGUUUCUAAUAAAUAACAGCUACUCAACAAGGUUAGGCCCUCAUCCAUCAUGUUCAUGUAGUUUGUUCACAUUAAUCCUACUUGACUUAGUGAGUAUGUCUCUUAGCAGAAUCCUACUUUAUUUAGCAAAUAAGAGACACAAGUCCUACGUCUAUCCAAACCCAUCCAUGCCUUCAAAAAUGGCUAGCAUGUUGAAACUCUUUGCCUUUUAUUUUAAAAAAUAGGUUUAAUAUACCAAACAGCUUAUACAUAGAUAAAAAAUUACCCAGAAACAUUUGUGACACAUUCUUUUUAUGAGCAAGCUGAGCGUGGUGGCCCACACCUGUAAUCCCAGCCCUUUUAGAAGCUGAUAUGGGAAGAUUGCUUGAGUCCAGCAGUUUGAGACCAAUCUGGGCAACACAGUGAGACCCUGUCUCUACAAAGAAAUACAGAAAUUAACCAGGCAUCAUGGUGCACACCUUUAGGUCCAGUUACUUGAGGCAGGAGGGUCGCUUGAACAAAGGAAGUUGAAGCUCCACUGAGCUGUAAUUAGGCCACUGCACUCUAGUCUGUGCAACAAAGCA
rnacentral:lncRNA from 1 species